rnacentral:rRNA from 1 species
AUAGGGAGGGUGCAAGCGUUAAUCGGAAUUACUGGGCGUAAAGCGCGCGUAAGCGGUUUGAUAAGUCGGAUGUGAAAUCCCCGGGCUCAACCUGGGAAUUGCAUUCGAUACUGUCAGGCUAGAGUGUGGUAGAGGGAAGUGGAAUUUCCGGUGUAGCGGUGAAAUGCGUAGAUAUCGGAAGGAACACCAGUGGCGAAGGCGGCUUCCUGGACCAACACUGACGCUGAGGUGCGAAAGCGUGGGGAGCAAACAGGAUUAGAAACCCUAGUAGUCC